AUUCCUACGGGAGGCAGCAGUGGGGAAUUUUCCGCAAUGGGCGAAAGCCUGACGGAGCAACGCCGCGUGAGGGAUGAAGGCCUCUGGGCUGUAAACCUCUUUUAUCAAGGAAGAAGAUCUGACGGUACUUGAUGAAUAAGCCACGGCUAAUUCCGUGCCAGCAGCCGCGGUAAUACGGGAGUGGCAAGCGUUAUCCGGAAUUAUUGGGCGUAAAGCGUCCGCAGGCGGCCCUUCAAGUCUGCUGUUAAAAAGUGGAGCUUAACUCCAUCAUGGCAGUGGAAACUUCUGGGCUAGAGUGUGGUAGGGGCAGAGGGAAUUCCCGGUGUAGCGGUGAAAUGCGUAGAUAUCGGGAAGAACACUAGUGGCGAAGGCGCUCUGCUGGGCCAUAACUGACGCUCAUGGACGAAAGCCAGGGGAGCGAAUGGGAUUAGAUACCCCUGUAGUCCUGGCCGUAAACGAUGAACACUAGGUGUCGGGGGAAUCGACCCCUCCGGUGUCGUAGCCAACGCGUUAAGUGUUCCGCCUGGGGAGUACGCACGCAAGUGUGAAACUCAAAGGAAUUGACGGAAU
rnacentral:rRNA from 1 species